AUGGCAUGUGUACUACCAAAAAAUAACAUCCUCAGGGCAUCAGGGGUGGCACACGCGUCCCACUUGGUGGCGGUGACAGAUCGGCAAGAACAAGGGUGGGGUUGUAUUAAGGAGGAGAGCGGGGCGGUUGGCGAGGGACUCCUCCUUGGCGGUCCGUGGGGAAGUAAGGUGGACUGCUGGUCAUUGAUGGAGUCGGGCUCUUGCAGCAAAAUCUAUGAUAUUCUCUGGAAGCUGCAGGUAGGCCAAGCUGUUCAUGAAGAUCCGAUGAUGACCACCAAGGUAAUAUCCAUCCACGGAUAUUCUCAAAGACAGCGGCGGGGGGCAUAUGAUGAAGGAUUUGCCAACAAGGGGGUUCUCGUCAAUUACCCCGUUUGCUGA
rnacentral:rRNA from 1 species